UAAAACAAACAGAGUGGAAGGAGGGAGAGAAAGAGCGAUAGAGUUUGACUUGGCCCAGGAAGGAUAGUUGUGAAGGCGAUCGAAUUCUCGCCUCCUCUUUUCUUCCCGAAUUUUGAGUAAUCUCCGUCCCCUUGCCGUCGUUCCUGAGACCACCGCACCAUUAUUUUUUCCAUUGUUCAGAGUUUUGUCAUUACUAAUACUAGCGUCGCCAGAAGAAGNGAAGAAGAAGAAGUGAGCUGCAGACGGCCAGGCAUACGCUUCCUUUGGGUGUGGCUAUGUGCAUUUGGGCAGCUGGAACUCCAUCCAAACGGCAACUUCACUCCCAAC
rnacentral:misc_RNA from 1 species